CUUCGGGCUCUGUGCAACAGAGACCUGCAAACCCCGCCAGGUCCGGAAGGAAGCAGCGGUAGCGGGAGCCUCUGUGUGCCACAGAUUCACCCGAAGUCU
rnacentral:SRP_RNA from 1 species